GUCCAGAUCACAUUGAAACACUGCUUUUCAUAUAAUCACUGAAGUUAAGCAACAUCGAGCUUGGUCAGUACUUAGAUAGAUAACCACUUGGGAAUACCAGGUGCUGUAA